AAGACCUCGCGCUAUUGGAGCGGCCGAUGUCCGAUUAGCUAGUUGGUGGGGUAACGGCUCACCAAGGCAACGAUCGGUAGCUGGUCUGAGAGGAUGAUCAGCCACACUGGGACUGAGACACGGCCCAGACUCCUACGGGAGGCAGCAGUGGGGAAUUUUGGACAAUGGGCGCAAGCCUGAUCCAGCCAUGCCGCGUGAGUGAAGAAGGCCUUCGGGUUGUAAAGCUCUUUCGGCCGGAACGAAAUCGUUCGGGCUAAUACCUCGAAUGGAUGACGGUACCGGAAGAAGAAGCACCGGCUAACUACGUGCCAGCAGCCGCGGUAAUACGUAGGGUGCGGGCGUUAAUCGGAAUUACUGGGCGUAAAGCGUGCGCAGGCGGCUUCCUAAGUCAGAUGUGAAAUCCCCGGGCUCAACCUGGGAACU
rnacentral:rRNA from 1 species